UGAGCUCCCAUCUGGUGGGCAGAAGAGUGGUCAGUUCACUUAGGAUCUAGGCGAGGGGCUCUUAAGCAGACCUUCCAAGGAGUCAACAGACUUCUUGAAAUGGAAUAGAACAUUUGUGAUAGAAGUUUUUGUGAAUUUUUCUGAAUGGGUCUUUAGCUUUCAUUGUAUUCUCAGUGGAAUCCCUCCUAUCCCCAAAGAUUAAGAAUCCCUGCCCUAGGACAGCAGGCUUCCUUUCUAACUCUGUUACAGACCAGAGCUUGCAUCAGUUAGGGUGUAUGUGAAAGUAACCAUCACCACCACAGGAGAAAUGGGUUGAAGGCUUCAGAGUGAGAGCAUUACCUUCAAGAAUCUGUUGCUGAAAGGGGAAUGGAGUACAUGCGUGACCUGGGGCAGGAUUAAGACCUUUAGAGGCUCUGGGCACCACAAAAUAGAGUUACGAUAAUAAAAACAAAAUGAACCUGUAAACCUCCAAACUUACAUCCAUGCUGAAAUGUAAACAGCUCCAUCCUAAGUUUUCUAAUUGUACACUUCUGGGUAAGCUCAUCAGAGCUGAAAUUUGAAAUGUGUCUUUGUUACCCACCUCCACCCAGUUAAGCACCUCUCUUGUGGGUGUCCUAAAUGCAUGCUGAGUGUGCCUCCUAGGGACCCUGCACAACUGGUGAUAGACACUGCUCUCUACGGUAAAGAAGAUAAGGCUGCCCUACGGGAAAUCCAUACAAAAAAGACUUAAUUAGCUACCUGCUAGAGUAAACCAAGAGAUUGCUAUAACCCUGCUAGUGAGGAGUCUGGGAAUACACUAAAUGCUCAUCAAGAAUCUCAGAGUAAUUUGGAUGAGGCAGGACCGAAAUGUGACUAUAAUUUAAAUGUGUGUAACUGUCAACACUUGCAUUUAAUCAGAAUCUCUCAUGAUGCUUUUUAGAAUUUACAGAUGUCGGGGUCCUCCCCUCAAUCUGCUGAACUGAUUUAUCUGGUGCCCAGGAAGUGGAUUUUCACAAAGCACAAGUAAUCCAAACGUGUGCCUCUAGUUAAGAACCAUGGCCAGAAACAAAGGACCUCAGAAGCAAAAUGCAUACCUAGUGGAUGGAUCUUGGUUUCUAAAUGUCACAGCCCCGAGAAAAUGAACCCUGUCCACCAGGAACCAUGAUCUUGGACUUCUCCCCUCCAGAACUGUGAGACAAUAAAUUUGUUUUCUGAGCCGCCCAA